AAGCAAUAUUAUGAUGAUGAUCAAUACGGAAUCUCUGUAUCAUGAUCAGUGGAUGUAUCGAUCGACCAUCCCAAGAAAAAGGAUAUACGUACUCUGCAUAUGUGCAUGCCAACAACUAUAAAAGGAGACCAUGAGGCAAUGAGUUGAUCAUCAAAGCAAACACACAGAAAUCCCAACUAAAAAUCAAUCAGUGAGACAAUGGCUGGAACCAAUGAUAUUAAAAUUAAAGGGUUUGAUUUGAGCAACAACAAAGGCAACACGUCGGGAUUAACCCACUUCGCCAACAGAGCUGCCGAGGGCGACAAGGGCGACAAUAAAAUCGAGGUUGAGGAUGCUAAAGGGCAAGGGAACACGGGAAACUUGAAAGUACUGACCGACUUCGCCCAACGCGGUAAAGUGGGCCAGUCGGAUCGCCAAGAACUACUCAAACCUCAGGCAUGAAAUUGAAGAAGGCCAGACCACAACAACUUGUCUGCUUGAUAGAUAUAUGUGCUAAAUUAUCUACACAAAAAUAAGAGCUGAUGUUUUAUCUGAGGCUCCUUCCUUGGUUAGGCCUCGUUAUCAUGUGUAAUAUUAAUAUUAUUAUUCUAAUAAAAUAAUGGUAGCUUAUUAUUAAAUAUAUCAGAAUUCUAUACGUAUAACUUUUAGAUUAUUGAUACUGAUGUCAACAAGAGAAAAUGAUUAAAAAUUCCUUUCUCCAAUUCGUGAUGUUAGACAAGAAGCAAACAAAUUUAGGAUAAUGGAUUUUAAAAGUUUGGUGACAAAUGAUGGUAAAGAAGAAUUUAGCCACUACUACAAAAAGUGAAAAAGACGACCAGAAAACAACGACGGUCUAAGUGAAAACCGUCGUGGUUUAUAAAAAGACGACGGUUCUAAAAACACCGUCGUGUAAUACAACCUUAGACAACUAAAAAAUGGAGUUUCAAAUGGCUGUUCAAAAACAACGACGUACAUAAUUAAACAACCGACGUCUAUUUGAAACAGAUUUCCUCAGUGUAAAAUCAAUGCCAACAAAGAACGGCAGAAGUUAUGAAUCGACCGACGUAGAAAGUAAAGACGACGAUUUCAAUAAAAACUGCCGUUUUUACUCAUAAAAUAACACGACGAGGUUUUCGUAUAAGACGCCGUAUAAUUACAAACAAAUCCACGGCUUUAAAAUACAAAAUAUCGCCGUAUUAAAUUAAUUUACAACGACGGAAAAUAUAAAUAUAUCGACGUCAUUCUCGUAUAGUUCUACUACGUUAUCUUUAAAUCGUACAAUAAAAUUUAUCGUCGUAUUUAUUCAUUUUAUACGUCGUACCUUUAAUUUUAACGGUCGUCUUAAUAAGAAUUUUUGUUAACAAUUUUUUUCUUUGAUUUUCUUAUCCUACGUCGGUAGAUCUACUUAAUGACAAGAAUUGAAAUAACCACGACGGUUUAUAUAGAACACCGCCGACAUAAUCAGUUUUGUCUGAGAUCCCAAGGGUUACGAAAUCUUACCAGAUGGAACUCUGUUCCACAUCAUAAUCUUAACAGAUGACACAGAUUUGCAAAUAUUGCGUCGUGUUAGUUUACAAAUUCUAGAACAUUAAUUUCCCUCAUUUUAAAUUUCCUCGGGAAAGAAAAAUCUAUUUAUCACGCUUUGGAAUUGAAAACUAAAACUGAAAGAAUACGGGAAAAAAAACUCCAUUUAUAAUUUAAAAUUAAAAUCCACGUCGGUUGUAGUACACUUAACGACGUUUAACAAAAUAAUCUACGUCGGUAAUUAUAAAUCUACCGCCAUCGUAACUUAAUAUAGACGACGAGAAAAGACGACGGUAGAACAGAAAACCGCCGUUGUUUCAGUUUCUUUAACAUAUCUUUCUGCAGGACUUGUGUAGUUCAAAGCAUUGACAAUGUCUUCAUCAUAUCUCCCAGAAACUACUGAUUCAAUUGCUCAUGCUUUAGAGGCCAUCUGAAGCCAUUUCUAUUCUUUAUCGCAUUCUUGAAACCCAUCUUCUUCUUCUGAAGCUCUACGGAUAAAGGAAGAGGCUAUCACAAUAAAUCCGACGGAUCUUCUUAGGCAAGAAAAUCAAGCAGAGGAUCAGGCACAUCUGAUCUUCAGAUUUCCCUGAGAAGCGAACUUUCCUUCGACAGCGAGUGGAGGCCAGGCUUGCAUCUCUUUUGAUGGAAAGCAAGGAGUAUUCAGAAGCACUAAGUGUCCUAUCAGGCUUGAUCAAGGAAGUGAGAAGGCUAGUUGACAAGCUUCUUCUUGUGGACAUAUAUUUGAUGCGAGUAAGCUCAAUUUCUCUUUGAGAAAACAUCCAAAUUAUUAUCUUUGAGACAUGAGAGACUGAGAGAGGAAGAACUUGGAACCUUAAAUGUAAACCGAAAAUGAAUGAAAGCGACAAAUUUAUAGAAUAAAUUUUUAAAACCAACGGCGGUCCUUACAAACAAACCGCCGUUUAAAUUGUAAAAUCAACGUCGGUAUGAUCGACGUAUAUUACAGAAAUCCACGUCGGUAAAUUAAUAAAAACGACGUGUUAAAUAAUAUACCAUGACGCGAGUUAUUACUUAUGUACUUUAAUUUUUGAGUUUACUACGACGGUACCUACAAACUACUGUCGUAUUUAUUUACCACGUCCGAAGUUAAAUGUACCGUCGUAUUUUGUAAUUUAUACGUCGUAGUUAUAUGUAACCGCCAUAUUAUUUUUUUGAAAUGGUUUUAUAUGUAAGCAACUUUUCGUCUACUUGACUUACACAUUUGUUGUUUUUAUAUUCUUAUUUUAUUUAAAUCUGUCAUCCAAAAAAGAAACUUUACAUAUUGCAGAAUAUUAAUUUCCUUCGUUUUAAAUUUCCUCCGGAAAAAAAACUCUAUUUAUAACGCACUGUAAUUGAAAAAUAAACUGAAAGGUCACGGGAAAAAAAAUUCUAUUCAUAAUUUAAAAAUUAAAAUCCACGUCGGUUAUAUUAAACCUAACGACGUUAAAUGAAAUGAUUCCACGUCGAAUGAAAAAUAUUGCGUCGUUUUAGUUAAAAACGACGUAGUUAAAUGUAACCGCCGUAUUAUUUUUUUGAAAUGGUUUUAUAUGUAAGCAACUUUUCGACUUACACAUGCACUGUUUCCAAACCCGAUUAAAAAUUUCAAUCUCCCAGAGAAACCUUUUCGUCUUUUUUCCUUGUCAGAGCAUUGUCAGAGUUUUUCAUCGUCUUCCUCUCGUCUUCUUCGUCGUCUCUGAACUUAAACAUCGAUCAUCUUCCUCUUGCUUUCAUUGCACGCAAAAGGUAAGCUUUCAUUUUCACUAUUUUGGUUACUGUUUUGCAUGCUCAUACGUUUUUUGUUUGAAAAAUCUUUUUACCUUUUUUCUGGCCAAAAUCAUUUUACUUCUUUCCAAGUUUGAUAAAAUAUACAGACAAAGAGAGAAAGUUUCCAACUUUGAAGACAACUACAUCAACUAAAUAAGACGACGGUAGACCACGACGGUUCGUCAGUUGUUCUAGCGUCGUCUGAAAAUUGACAAAGUUGUUUUUAAAAUAAUAGUCUUUUUUUAUAUGCUUGUUUAAUUGCAGGUUUGAUUUCGCUGAACAAUGGUUUUUGUUUUUCCCUUAUUUGAUAAAAUAUAAAGAAAAAGAAACUAGGGUUGGUAUCUAAUAUAGACGAUAAAAUAUAAAUAAUAGUUUACCACGACGGUGUAUUACUAUUGACGUCGUGUGAACAUAUAUACCACGACGUUAUAUAAAUAAUGGUUUUAAACAUUUAUUACGUCUGAGAUUAUUUCAUUGCGUCGUCUAAAAUCAUAUCAUACGUCGUAUUUUUUUAAUACCGUCGUUUGUGUUCUUAAUGUUUUCCUGAAAUAUUUUCACUUGCAGUUUUGUCUGUUAAAAUGGUUUCUCAACAACAAACUAAGGAUUCUGGCUCCAAGAAGCUUGGAAUGGUAGCUCCUCAAGAUAAGUCUUCGAAGGAGAUGAAGUCUUCGAAGAAGAUGAAGUUUGCUUCAUCAUCUGCUGAGACAGAACAAACCAGCCAGACAACAAUCUCAGAUGAUUCAAAGACUGGUCGAGGUAUGAGCACAAUGCCUCGUGUUGUGAAGAGAAAGCUUCAGAAACUGAGGCCAAUUGUUGAGUACAAUAAAAGGGGGAAAGGUGUUGGCCAAGCACAUAUUGAGAUGCAGUCGUAUAUUGGUGUGUUGGCACGCUCCAGGAUCCCACUUGUGGACAAGAAAUGGUCCCAAAUCCCCAAGGAUAUAAAGGAGCAGAUUUGGGAAGCAGUUGACAUGGCUUUUGUCGUAGGCCAAGGGGGCAAGACCUCUGUUUUAGCUUCUGCUUCCAAGAAAUGGAAGGAUUUCAAGUCUACACUAACGAGGCAUUAUAUCCUUCCAUACACCAAUGACAGGGAGAAAUUAAGCCAACCCCCUGAAACAUAUAAAUUCAUAGAGAAAGCACAAUGGGAUGCCUUUGUAGCUUCAAGGCUAUCCAAAGAUUUUGAGUCUGUGCAUUCUCAACAUGCACAGAUUAGGGAGAAACUCGAGUACAAUCAUCGAUUGUCUCGAAAAGGAUAUGCUGGAUUGGAGGAUCAAUUGGAGGAAACCAUGCCUGGGGUAGAAAUUGAUCGAUCUACCUUAUGGAAGAGAGCUAGACAGGACAAACAUGGUAACAUCCCUGAUCCAAAGGUGGCAGAGAAAGCAAAAUUAAUUGUAAGCCUACUAUCACUCUGUUUUAAAUUUUUAUUAAACUGUGAAUUAUUCUUAUUACGUCGUAUGUUAUAUUUUUCGUCGUGUGAAUGAUAUUACCACGUCGAAAAGUUUUUAAAAACGUCGUUAAAGGUCUAAAUAGGAAUCACUACUAUGUUUUCUGUAAUUACAGCAUAAGACGUCGGUGGUUCAUUUUCGCGUCGUGUGAAUGAUAUUACCACGUCGAAAAUUUUUUAAAAACGUCGUUAACGGUCUAAAUAGGAAUCACUACUCUGUUAUCUUUAAUUAUAGCAUAAGACGUCGGUUGUUUAUUCAUUUCGUCGUUUUAAAUAAAUAACCACGUCGGUAUAACUACCGUCGUGAUAAGUUAUAAUAACGUCGGUUUAUACGUUAUUGCGUCGUGUGAAAUUAUAUAAUACGUCGUUUGUACAUAAAUAACCGUCGUGUGUUUUUUUGUUUAUCUUUUUUUAGGAUGAAUUGCAGAAACAAGUCUCGGAAGGCAAAGUCAGAGUAGAUGGCAGCAAUGAUGUGCUGACCAUGGCUUUGGGCCCCGAGCAUCCAGGCAGACUGAGGGGAGUUGGUGCUGGUGUUUCCCCAAGGCAAUAUUUCAAUUUGCCCAAACCACAGAGGGUGAGCUUUGACGACCGUUUGAAGGACAGUUUAAGAGUUCUCCUUCAAGAAGAGACUAAAAAGAUGGAGGCUAAGGCAAGGGAAGAGGCCUUAAGGAUGGAGGCUAGGACAAAACAAUUGGUAGAGGCUGAGAGGGAGCAUUUCCUGAGUCAGCUUUCCCAAUUAAUUCCCAAUUUUGAUCCAAGCAUGCUUAAACCAAGAAUUAGCCAAAGCCCCAAAAAUCCAAUGUCUGACAAAGCUAGCUGCUCUGGAGGUGAUGUGAGAUCCCUACAUUUGGAGGAUGAUACUGCCAAAAUGGGGAAACAUCAGCCAGAUGAAGAGAAGGAAGAAGAAAAAAGAGAUGAAGAGAAGGAAGAAGAAAAGGAGAAAGAAGAUGAAGAAAAGCAUGACGACAAGGUAUGUUCACAUAACUUUGCCUUUUUUAUUUGUUUUUCAAAAUUUCAGACGUCGAUAUUUUUAUUUAAUCCGUCGUUUGUUUAAAACUUAGACGGCGGAAUUUUUUUAAGACGUAAUAAAAUAUUUAAACGACGGUUUUUGCACCGUCGUUUAAAUGGUUUCAGACGACGCUUUAUUCAUAAAACCGUCGUCUUUAUUGAAUUACCACGACAGUUUUUUCACCGUCGUUUAAAUACUUUUAAGACGACGUUUUAUUACUUAAACCGUCGUCUUUAUUGAAUUACCACGUCAUUUUUUUUAUUUCUUUAAACAGGUUAUUGAAGUUGGUGCUUAUUCAAAAAUGGAGGCGCCAUCUUCUUUAAAAACCCUUUGUCGUUUUGUGGAAACGACACUCCUGCCUGAGGAUAAGACACUCCAAUUUACAAUUGAUAAGGAGGUGUUUGGUGGUGAGCGCGAUACCUUCCUCCUGCCUGAAGAUAUUACACAAUUUGCAGGCAUGGAAGAAAUUGGAGCUACUGUAUUGGCUGUAUAUAUGAGGUUUGUACUUCUAAAAUAAUACCUCGUUGGUUUAUAUAUUGCGUCGUCUUAACUAACUAACCACGUCGUCUUAACUAACUACCGUCGUGAUAAAUAUAUUAUAACGUCCUCAUCUAUUUCAGUACGUCGUGUGAAAUAUUAUAAUACGUCGUUUUUUUAUACAUAACCGUCGUGUUUGUUUGUGCUGACUUGUUUAUAUUAUUUUAUGUAUUUAGGUACUUACACGAUGUUUUGAAACAAGCCAAUAUGUGCAGCAUGGUUGGCUUUAUUGACCCUGCUACAGUUAGUGCCAACUCUGGCACAAUAACUGAAAGAUCACGACUGGUAGCAGCUCGACUUCAGAAGACAGACGGUGAACAGCUUUUCAUGAUGCCUUACAAUCCAGGGUUAGUCUCCUUAGGAUUUUGUUUUUAUGAUUUUCAAUAAAUGACAGCUUAUAAACUAACCACGUCGGUGUUUUAUUUUAUUUAGUCGUUUGAAACUACUAACCACGUCGGUAUUUAUUUGUCGUCGUGAUAAAUAUAUAAUGUUGUCGUUAUCUACUUUAUUUCGUCGUGUGAAAUACUAUAAUACGUCGUUUUUGUAAAUAACCGUCGUUUUUAUAUUAAUUUUGUGCAGCCGUCAUUGGAUCCUGCUGAUUGUAAGAGCAAAGAAGGAGACCGUCUAUUUUCUGGAUCCUCUGCCAGGUCAUCGUGUGGUCGACGAAGAGGCGAAAAACAUCGUGAACAGUGCUUUAAAAAUAUAUAAUACCCACAUAGGCCGAGCAGGACGUAAAAAUGUAAUUUGAAAAACUCUCUCAGGCACACCAAAGCAACCCAGCAAUGUCGAAUGCGGGUAUUAUGUGAUGCGCUUCAUGAGGGACAUCAUCAUGGAUCCUUCCUUGGGGUUUGAGAAUAAGGUAAGAAGAAAUUACCUUCAUACAUUUCACGUCGUUUUUUGUAUUAUCAACGACGGUCAUGUAAAAUUAACGUCGUUGAAUGGAUAUACUACGUCGGUUAUGAAAAAUAUCGUCGUCUGUGAUUGAAUUUCUUUUUAUUUAUAAACCCUAAUAGUCAUUGUUUAUGCAGUAUGCCAAGGGAAACCAGGAAGCUUCAUACCCCCAAGAAGCCAUUGAUGAAGUCCGGAAUGAAUGGGCAGAGUUUGUUUUCCAAAUUAUUAAACAGGGCAAUUAUUGAACACUUGAUAUUUAUGUAUAAUGUACCAAUUUUCUCUAUAAUAUGUAAUGUAAAAAUUUGUUGAGGUUUUCUUAAAUUAAAAAAAAAACAAACAUACAAAUUGCUUAACCGACGUGUAAUACUUUUCCAACGACCUAAUAAAGUCACAAACCGUCGUAUUUUGUUGUUUCGUGUUUUAAACAAUUACGACGUAAAAAAAUAGUUAGACGACGUUCUUUGAACAAUUGAGUCGUUAAUGGUUUACAAUAUCUUCAAUUUCUUAAGGGUUCAGGGUAUAAUCGACGACGUUUAUGUAACGACUGCGGUUAAGUCGUAAAAUAUAUAUUUUACGUCGUAUAGUUAAAUAGCCGCCAUGGUUUUUCAUUUUAACGACGUCAUUUUAACGACUUAGUAGUCUAUUACAAUUUACAACGUCUACAAUUUAUUAACACCGACGUGGUUUGUUGUUGUGGUAAGAAUAUUUUAUUAUUUUUAUAUCAAAAUAUUCAAAAUAAAUUUAAAAUAAAUCAGAAAAUUGAAAAGUCAACUCCUAUGAAGUCAUUGAUAUAUUUUCUUCCACAUAAACCUUGAAAAAAUUCAUUUUGAAUAACAAAAAUUUAAAAUGACCAUCCAAAACAAAAUUGUUUUGAUGACUCAUAAAAUCACUUCUAGUUUUAUGGUUUAGGGUUUAGAGUCUAGGGUUUAGAGAUUAGGGUUGUUAUUUAUUGGGGUUUAUUUUUAAAGUAUAAUUUUUGGGUAGUCUAGGGUAUAUGUUAGGCUUUAAAACCAUAAAACCUUUUAUAAACUUAAUUUUUUAAAUUGUAUAAUUUAAUUUUAUGGGUUUAGGGUAUUAAUUUUUAACGACGGUGGUUGGGUCGUGGAAUACAUAUUUUACGUCGUACAGUAAAACAUACGACAUGGUUUACGCUUUAAACGACGUCAUUUUAAUAUGUAAGUCGGUUUAUAUAAUUUACAACGUCAACGUCUUUAAUUUCUUAACACCGACGUGGUUUUUCAGUCGUCGUUAUAUAAAAAAUUCAAAAUAAAUUUAAAAUUAAUCCGAAAAAUGAACGGCCUUACGUUCUUAAUCCGAAAAAUGAAGUUUCCGUCGUGGAAUAUUAAAUUUACGUCGGUACUUGUAGAACUUUCGCCUUGGUUUUUCUUUCGACGUUUUAAAACGCGCGCGCUCUAAAAAUUUUCGCGCGACCUAAACUUUUUUAGAUUUGGCUCUUAUUCUUAUACUUCGAACCCUGAAACCUAAAANNNNNNNNNNNNNNNNNNNNNNNNNNNNNNNNNNNNNNNNNNNNNNNNNNNNNNNNNNNNNNNNNNNNNNNNNNNNNNNNNNNNNNNNNNNNNNNNNNNNNNNNNNNNNNNNNNNNNNNNNNNNNNNNNNNNNNNNNNNNNNNNNNNNNNNNNNNNNNNNNNNNNNNNNNNNNNNNNNNNNNNNNNNNNNNNNNNNNNNNNNNNNNNNNNNNNNNNNNNNNNNNNNNNNNNNNNNNNNNNNNNNNNNNNNNNNNNNNNNNNNNNNNNNNNNNNNNNNNNNNNNNNNNNNNNNNNNNNNNNNNNNNNNNNNNNNNNNNNNNNNNNNNNNNNNNNNNNNNNNNNNNNNNNNNNNNNNNNNNNNNNNNNNNNNNNNNNNNNNNNNNNNNNNNNNNNNNNNNNNNNNNNNNNNNNNNNNNNNNNNNNNNNNNNNNNNNNNNNNNNNNNNNNNNNNNNNNNNNNNNNNNNNNNNNNNNNNNNNNNNNNNNNNNNNNNNNNNNNNNNNNNNNNNNNNNNNNNNNNNNNNNNNNNNNNNNNNNNNNNNNNNNNNNNNNNNNNNNNNNNNNNNNNNNNNNNNNNNNNNNNNNNNNNNNNNNNNNNNNNNNCUGUUUUUGUUUAAAACCCGUCGUCUCAUGUUGUUUAUACCUUGCGAUUAGAUCAUGUAUAAUCUGCUAUAGUGAUGGUCAUGCCUGUAUUUUCACUUUUAUAUAGAUAAUAGGUUAUAGUGUCGGAGAUGGAUAAGUCAUGGAUGCACUCGGAUAGAAGAUCGAAGGCAUAUGAGUUUGGGGUGGAAGCAUUUUUGAACUUUGCUGUAGAAAAUCUUCUAACUACAACACAUAUCCGUUGUCCAUGUGUUAAAUGUGUUAAUUUGAAGUUGUUUGGGGUUGGAAUUAUAAGGGAUCACUUAUACUUUAAUGGAAUUGACCAAAGCUAUAAGAAUUGGACAUUUCACGGAGAACCUUGGGAAGCAACUACUAAUGCUAGCAGAAAUGUUGAAGAAGAUGAUGGCCAUAGUAGGUACAGUUUUGUGUCUGAAGAAAUUGAUAUGGAUGAUAAUGAUUUUGGUGAUUUUGGUUCGGAUCCGUAUGAGUUUGCCAAUGUGAUUGGGGAUGGAGAUCAACCAGUGUACCCUGGUUGUAGAAAGUACACGAAGUUAUCGGCAUUAGUGAAGUUGUAUAAUUUGAAGGCAAAACAUGGGAUGAGUGAUGUCUGUUUUACAGAAUUAUUGAUACUUCAAGGCGAUUUGCUUCCAGAAGGAAAUACAAUACCAACCUCCAUGUAUGAGGCUAAAAAGACUUUGUGUGCAUUGGGGCUGAGUUAUGAGAAAAUGCACGCAUGCCCCAAUGAUUGCAUCUUGUAUAGGAAGGAGUAUGAGGAUUCAACUAAUUGUCCUACUUGUGGUAUCUCAAGGUGGAAGGAAGGCAAAGAUGCAAUCUUGAAAGAGGGUGUGCCAGCGAAGGUGGUGUGGUAUUUUCCCCCAAUUCCAAGGUUUAAAAGGAUGUUUCAAUCACAUGAGACAGCUAAGAGUUUGACUUGGUGGCAUGUUGCUAGAAAAUCAAUUGACGGUCAGAUGUCUCAUCCGGCGGAUUCCCCGUCUUGGAAACUUCUUGAUGAUAAAUGGCCUGAGUUUGGUAAUGAGCCGAGAAACUUGAGAUUGGCUCUUUCAUCUGAUGGAUUCAAUCCCCACAGUUCUCUAAGUAGCAGAUAUAGUUGUUGGCCGGUUAUCUUAGUUACAUAUAAUCUCCCUCCAUGGCUGUGCAUGAAACGAAAGUUCAUGAUGUUAACCUUAUUGAUUUCCGAUCCUAAACAACCCGGAAAUGAUAUAGACGUCUACUUGGAGCCUUUGAUUGAUGAUUUAAAAUCCUUGUGGGUUGGGAUUAGAGGAGUGUAUGAUGCACAUAAUGGAGAAUACUUUACACUCAGAGCUGCAUUAAUGUGGACAAUUAAUGAUUUCCCCGCCUAUGGAAACUUAUCUGGUUGUGUUGUUAAAGGAUAUAAAGCUUGUCCAAUAUGCGGCGAUGAUACACCUAGUCAAACAAAUAUUUUUUGUUGACGACCCGAUGCAUCGUGGUUGGUCGUGUAGGCGUGUGAGUGUGUGUUUGUGUUUGUUUUUGUGUGUGUGUGUGUGUGUGUGUGUGGUGUGUGUGUGUGUGUGUGUACCAUUACUNNNNNNNNNNNNNNNNNNNNNNNNNNNNNNNNNNNNNNNNNNNNNNNNNNNNNNNNNNNNNNNNNNNNNNNNNNNNNNNNNNNNNNNNNNNNNNNNNNNNAUGUAAUUGGCAGUGUAUGACAUUAAUUUUGUAAUAUAUUGUAAUGUGAUUUCUUCACUUUCUACGUUCAAAUAAAACACGACGUUAUUGUGAAUCAGUUAUUCAGCAUAUUUACCGACGUCUUAAAGCAACGUAACAAUGAAGAACCACGACGCUAUUGUGAAGCAAUUAUUCAGGAUAUCACGUCGGUGAAGGAUAAAGAACCGCCAUGUAAUUCAAAAUAACACGACUCCAAUCCCAUAAUACCGACGUCUAAAAAACGAGAUAUGUAAUCUGAACGUUAAAAAAUACGACGUCAUCAUACAUUUUCCACGUCGCAAGUUCUUUUAUAAACGAAGAGGAACGAAAUUAAUUCCGACGGAAAUUCAUUAUAACCGCCGUCUAAUAACAAUUAAACGACGUUAUUUGUAAUACGGCUCCCAUCAUAAUCUACGCCGUCUAUAUGUUCUGUAAUACGGCUCUCAUUUAUUUGGAACCGACGUUGUUUAGACGUUCAACGUCGUCUAUAUUAUUAAGUGCGUCGUGAGUAAUGAAUACAUAUAAAUACAACGUCGACUAUAUAAAUGUAUACGUCGUAAAUAAUGACACUGACAACUAUUUCCACGUCAUCUUUUUUAGAUAAAAUCGAAGUGGAAAAUUUAUUUCACGACGGUUUUUUGUAAAUAAGAGACGUUGUAGAACUUUAGCAGACUAAACACGUCUGUUUUUAUUGUUUUCCGACGUUGUUGUAUUUAACAACGUCUAAUAUUUAUGGUCGUUGUUUGUUUCUGAAAAUAGGACGUAUAAAUUUUUUAAUACGACUCUCAUAUAUUUGUAACUGACGUUGUUUAGUUUUUCAACGUCUACUAUAGAAACACAUACGUCGUAAAUAAUGACACUGACAACUAUUUCCACGUCAUCUUUUAUCAAAAAAUCGAAGUGGAAAAUUAAUUGUACGACGGUUGUGUUUAUAUGUGCGACGUAGUAGGUAUCAAUAACAUCGUCUUCUAAUGUAUUUAAAGACGUCAUAUUUUUUAUUGUCGUGAAAAUUAUAUUUAACGUCGGCGUAUUUUUAUUGUCGUCGUUGUAUGUCUAUCUUGCGGCCUUGUUCUCUUAAUAUGUGUCAUAUUUUCCCUUUUUAACGACGGUCUUUUUAGAGAAUUGGUCGUCUAUUAUCAUCAUCGAUUGCUUUUUUUAGAUCUUUUUGCAGUACAAAGACGUCGUUUUGUAUUUUUUGAUGACGUUGUAUUGUUUAACAACGACGGUUAUUUAGCGUCGUGGUUUAUGAGGGAAAAGAUGACGGUGGAUUCCACGACCAUUGAAAAACCAAAUACACGACGGUGAUUUACCGUCGUCUUUUUGCUUUUUUGUAGUAGUGAUCGGAAACUUGACUAAUUAGAAUACAACAUAUGUCGAAAUAUUUUUAUCAUAAAUGGUCUCUAAGGUUCGUGAAAUUAUUAGCUUUAGUCCUUCAUGUUUUUUUGUGACAUCAUUGGUCCUUUAUGUUACUCCUCUUCACACAUCAAUUUGGUUCUGCCGUUUGGAUUCGUCAAAAUUUAUGUUAAAUUGAUGGCAUGACAUGUAUAUGGUGCCUACAUAUCCAAUGAGAUAAUGACCCGUGGAUCUAAGUAAAAAAUUUGUUUUAAAAAAAUAGUUUCAUAUUUAAAAUUUUUAAAGGGCGAAGACUCAUUGGGUAACUCGAAGUUUGGGUUGUUGAAGCCUUCAAGCAUGGUUUUGCUCACAAAAGAUUGGAACGCAAUGUGUUGGGUUGAGCACUGAAAACCAAAGAAUAUCAAAAAUGUAGUAGGGGGGAGAGAGAGAGAGAGANNNNNNNNNNNNNNNNNNNNNNNNNNNNNNNNNNNNNNNNNNNNNNNNNNNNNNNNNNNNNNNNNNNNNNNNNNNNNNNNNNNNNNNNNNNNNNNNNNNNACCUCAUGUCAGCACUUAAUAGAAAAUUUGACGGACCCUAACGGCAUGGAUCAAAUUGAUGUGUGGUGUGUAACAAAAAGGAUCAAUAAUGUCACAAAAAACAUAAAGGACCAAAGUUGAUAAUUUUGCGAACCUUAUACACCAUUUAUGAUAAAAACCCUAUAUUGUAUAAUUUUAGUGUGUUUUUUUCUUAAAUGCUAUUGAGAAGAGAUUUUAUAAAACUGCUAUAUAAAAGGUUCACCACAAUGCUAUAAAACAAUAGUAGAUUAUGGCUCUCAGAUGUUUUCAUCUUCUUAUUCAUCCAAGCAGAUCGAUAACAUAUGGUCACUACUGACUUUUUCUUGUAGUUCUCAACAUCCAUCUUUCAAGCCAUCAACCAAGUUGUUGCAUUGCUCCUCACUGUUAGAAAAGCCUCGUUUCCCUCCUCCUCCUCCAUUGAUUGAAGGAGAGACAACAAAAGCAACUUAUGAAACAAGCCCCUCAUUUCCUUGUUAAACAUAAAUCGACCCAUUAUUGAUGAGGACUGAGAAUCUAAGAGCACACUAGUAAUUAACCUGAGUGGGGAAUAUGGAUGAUGGAUCUCUCUCUCUCUCUCUCUCUCUUGAAAAAAUCAACUUCAUUAUCCUUGGUGAAUUUGUUCUGAAUUAGUCGUGUCCAGCUACAAGCAAUACUGUACGUAGUAUAUUAUUCUCUGCAUUUGUGCAUGCCAACAACAAACAAAUAUUAUUCUCUAUUAUAGCAUAUAGGCCGUCAUUUUCAAUCCUUAUAAGAGAAAACUUGCUUCGCCAUAAGAGUACGUAGCUUGGCAAGCAAGGUAAGGGUACUUCAAAAGAUUCCUUCCAUCAUCUAUAUAAGACACAUGUGACAUUGCAUGUCUCAUCAAUCAUGUUAAGAUAAAGCUAGCUGGCAAGGCAAAUUACCAACCUUUAUGCUCGAGUAUAUUAUUCCAAGCAGAUAUAAAUGUUAAUAUAUGUGAAGAAUAUUAUGAUCAAUAUAGAAUAUGUAUCAUGAUCAGUUAUGGUAUCGACUGUCAGAAAAUAUCAUCCGCAUAUGUGCAUACCAACAUUAUCGAAAGACAGUAGGAGUAUCGUCAUAUCCGAUACAAGUAUCGGAGCAUGGGUAAGAGUAUAUAUACAAGCAUACCCGUCCAAUUAGGAGAAUCAGUGCAACAUAGAUGAAAAGAAAUUAGAUGUGAUUUCACAUAUUUUUAAAGAAUAGGGGAAAUAAACCAAUUAAUCUCUUUUGUCUUCUCCAUACAUUUUUGGUUGUGAAUUUUGGUUUUCGAAGAAUUUGGCAUUUCAAGCAACUUGGAAAACAUUUUGAUGAUCCAUUGAACCUUGUUAAAGUCGAUAUUCAAUCUCUAUGGACUUUGGCCGAAAUGUCUCAUUUCAAUUGGAAAGUGACAUUGAGAUUUGAAAAGACUAGACAUUAAGGUGGCAAGAGAAGUCUAAAAGGAUCAAACAGAAAAAAAUAAUGAAAAAUUGAAAAUAACCUAGAAAGGGGAGAAAAAAUUAGUUGCAAUAGGGAUAAUAAUGUUUGAGUAAUGCUAAACGAACUCUAAAAUUAACUUAGUACACCCUACUAUCAAACUAUUUAUUGAAUUACUAAUUUACCCUAAUAUAAAAUGACCAAAAAGGAUAUAUUGAAUUGUGCAGCAAAUGUAAUUUUAAUAAGUACACAUUACUCACCAUAUUCAACCCUAAUAUUCGAUGGAGGCGACAUUGAAUGCUAUGAAUCCAACCCAAACCCACCACCACCGUCCCUCUCUCUCUCUCUCUCUCUCUCUCUCUCUCUCUCUCUCUCUCUCUCACAAAUUAUCUUAUUUGCUCUAAAUUUUUUGCAAUGAGUCAGAAUCUUCUAUGUGUAUGUGGCAUUCGUUCAUUAGACUUGGUUAAUGCAUUCAACCCACCCAAAACAAUAAUCAUUUGAUGUUCAUCCUCGAUGUUGGUGGUUUCAAGUGAGCAUGUUCCCAAACGGCUCUUACACUUGCCCACUAGAACUCCAGCUCCUCACCCUCUGAUGAAUCUAAUGACAAUUAUGUUGUUGUUUGCACCAUAAACACCAACUUCCAACAACUCCAAUACAACCUAUUUCUUCUUAAUUAGAUACCUUGGGGGUUGAUAGCAACCUCAAUAGUCUAAGAAACAAACCCACUUCGGAAUUUUCCUUCUUCCACUAGUUGAAGGGAGAUGGGUUCCAACACGAUAUUACGCGCUUAUUAGAAUCUUAUACUCGUCGAGUCUGGGUUGGCUGGUGAUAAGCAGGGGAAGGGUGGAGUUGGGUUGUGUUAGAGAGAGAGAGAGAGAGAGAGAGAGAGAGAGAGAGAGAGAGAAAGAGAAAGAGAGAGAGAAGGGCGGUAGUGGUUGGGUUGGGUUGGAUGCGAAAGGGCUUAAAUCAGAGGAGGAAGGACGGGUUUGGCUGGGUGGGUGACAGGACCCGACCCAAUUUCCGCUUUGGAAUCCGAGCUGAAUCCUGUGCGUGUCCGACACCUGGCGAAUGUCGGGCACGAAUGACCUUUUUACCCUUCUCUUUUCAAAUUCUUUUUUUUUUUAAACUUCCCUUAGACUUCUACCGAAAAUUCGACAGAGUCUCCCCUGUAUUUUGACCAAACCCAAAGUCUUCCACCUGUCAAACAGUCUCAAAUAACACACCAACUACCAGACUAACUCAACCAACAGAUCUCAACUCCAGUUUCUCAUGUUCAACAAGAUAUCAAAGCAUUUCUAUACAAAUUUACAGAACUAUGAGAAAGUUACAACGAGAUCCUACACUUUGGGGGUGGGGCGAAAGCUGGGAAGAUGGCCCGAGUGGUUUCCUUCGUACUUCUAUGGCCUGGGGGCGAAAAACAAGGUUAAAAUUGUGAGUGGACAAAAAUAAAAUUCUUUAAAACAAAAACAAGUUAGAACAUAAUAACCCCCGUUUUGAAAUACUAGGGAUAUAAAUCGUUAAUUUAGCUAUAUUUCAAUAUAAGGAAUUCAAUAAACAUGAAUAAAUAUACUGACGAAUAAACUUGCAUAACUGAUCAAAUAUAUAUAAAGAUAAUAACGCAUGAAUAUCAAGAAACUGGUAUAAAAUCACGGGAAAUCAUAACUGGAUAAAAGAGCUCAAAAUCCUUUGAAACUACCACCUAGAUGUACCCCUGUCAUAUCCGUCAAUUCCCCUGGCAGGUCUCGGGCGUCACGCAGUCUACCCGAGCCGCAAACUGGCGAAAUCAAGGGACUAUGAUCAGCCUGAUCCGCCGGCAGGUCUCGAUGACACCAAGUCGACUCGAGCCGCUCUGGCAGGAUGCAGGGGACCGCAGUCAGCCUGAUCCGCAAUCCUGGCAGGUCUCGGGGACACAGAGUCAGCCGAGCCGCAAAUCCUGGCAGGUCUCGGGACACCAAGUCUGCCGAGCCGCAAAUUCUGGCACUCACGGUCCGAGCGUCCCCGAAACUCGUGAGGCAAAGUCAAGUGCACUGACGUAACUGAAAUCAGACUGGAUGUUCGUAGACAUCGGUCCGACUGUGGGUAAUCACCAUAAAUAGAUGGGUACAUGGUGGUUUAACAAGAAAUUCUGAUAACUCUCUGAAAUCUGAUAAGUCUGAACUAAAUUACUAUCUUUGUAUCAAAAGUCUCAAGUUUACUGCUCAACCAAUAUUAUAAAAAUAAAGAUAUUUCACAAUGCAAAUCAUGCUUCGAAAUUACGUAAUAACACUUAUUCAAGAUCAAAUAGAAAAUAUAAUUAUAAAAUCUUUUAGGAAAGAAAAGUCCACUCACUGUUGGUCCGAGCUAUCUGGACCCUUCGAAGAUCCCUCAUGUGGGUCAACUGGACCUCUGGUGCCUUACUCGAUUGAUUUGGUGGAGAAUUGAAGGAGAACGAAGGAGAUGAAGUUUGGAUGAAAAACAGGCGGAAAUCGCCAGUUUCCGGCCAAUUCCCGGCGGUCCAAGGCCGGCGACGGGUCGAGGAAGGGAGGCGGCGGCGAGGCGGACCGAUUGACACCAACGGCGGAGGUCGCCGUGCCCUGUAGCGACGGCACGCUCGAUCUGAAACAGGGAGGGGGGCGGCGGUUGCGACGGGAGAGAGAGAGAGAGAGGAGAGAGAAAUGAGGAGAGAGAAGAGAGAAGGAAGAGAUAAAAUCUGACUUUUUUUUCAAAUUACCGUUUUGCCCUUCGAGGUAAUUUAAUCGUAUCUUCUUCAUUACAAUUCCAAUUCGGGUCUACUCCGUGUCUACGGACUCGUUUCGCCGUGCUCUACGCAACGGCGCAAGCGAAAUUCUCAAAUUCUUUCUUGAUCAAAAAGUCAAAUUUUCCCCUAUUAAAAUAUGCGAGGGCAAAAUCGUCUUUUGGGUAGAAUAAAGAAAUCCUAAUUUUUAGAUAUUUUAGUUUGGGUUAUUACAGUGGGGGGUGGAGAGAUGAUGGGAGGUCGAUUUAACAGGGUUAAGUGUUGUUAAGUGGUUUACCACAUGUCAAAAAAAUAGAAGGAAAACAUGUCGGGCACAUGGCAUUUGGUAACAGUAAAAUUGGACUCAUGAAUGAGUUAGGUGUUGUGUGAUAGAGUGUAUUAGGGUGUACCAUGGGUAUUUUUAGUAGUUAAAUAGGAUGUACUGAGUUAAUUUUAUAAUUUGAUUUAAAUAUUAGGGUAUACUUAGAUCAUAGGGUGUACUCAGUUAAUUUUAAGGUUUGUUUAGCAACAUUCUAAUGUUUUGUUAUCCCCGGUCAAUAAUUUUAUAUCGUGUGGCUUAGAAGGAGGCCUGUUAUCCAACUCAUCUGGUCCACCGUCCAUGAUAUGAACCCGACUUGAGAAUCUUUUGGUGAAGUAGAACAACCCAACUUGAGAGUUGAGGCAGCCAAACUAGAAGGGAAGCAUCCCCACUCCAGUCCCGCUCCCCAUGUGCCCAAUACUUUGCUUGUUUACUUCACCUUUUAAACCUUUUAGGAUUUUCCAUAGGCUAAGAGGAAAACAACAACAUUACGGCCCAGUUUACGAAUGGAUUCGAGGGGAAAUUACUUCCCAUGCCAUUUUUUAAGGGAUGGAAAAUGGAGAUUCAUUUCCCAUAUUUGAUAAUCCUAGGAAAGUAACUAAGAAAUACUACUUUAUUUCCUUUCACAUAUUUGGUUUGUGUAGGAAUGUAAAACAAAGUUAGUUUAAUUUUUCAAUUAUAUCCAUAUGAAAUUAAAUUUUAAAAAAAAUGUAUUUAAUGCUAUAUUGUUAAUGGGGACAAUAUGGUCAUGAAAAAUGUGUAUUUAAUGUUGGCUAAUUUUCUCAAACUUUCUCAUGUGCAAGACAACGAUUUCUCAUGCCUAGACUUACCAAAUAUGGGAAAGCAAUUGAUUUCUCAUCACCAAGCCUCCUUUCCCAUGAACCAAACAGGACCUACAAGUUAUUAGCUUCAAGCCUUCAAGGAUUUUCAUAACAAAUCUUCCAAUCUCACACAAAAAUAAAAAAGCAUCCAUGUAUGUAAUUUCUAGAUUAAAAUCUCACUUUUUAGGCAUUCCAUUUUCUUAGGAUUAGGUAUUACUACGCACGGACAAUCUUACGAUUAUCUGCAAUUCAUCCUUCAAUAGCUAUGGACGUUAUAUCAAAUCAACAAUAAGACGUACAUUUCUUCAAAGAACUAAAUCAUGCGGAUGUCAACUUGCUCUCACUUAUAUGUUUGUCUCUCCAUAUGAGGAAGGGUGUUUAGCUUAAGGUUUUAGGGCGCGGUUGUCUAAGAACAAUAAGGUGAACAUGUUUUGUCAAAGUACAUGGGAGACCUUUAUCUUCAAACACAAAAAAUGGCCAAAAUUAAAUUAGCAAGGAUCGACAUAUGGAUGUGAGCUUUUACACAUUGCCACUAAUUCUCUCCAUACUUUUGUUGAAAUCAUUUACAAAAUAAGAAAACUUUAGUAAUUGAAGCGAAAGAGAAGAAUUACCAGAACAGAAAAUAAGAAAAAAGAAGCACCUAACCCAAACUUUAAGUCACGAAUUUAACAGUUUACUUUUUAAAAAAAGUAAGUUACAAAACAAUCCCCUUAUUGAUGAGGAUUGAGAAUUUAAGAGCACUAAUAACUUGAGUGAGGAAUAUUGCACAUGGACGAUGGAUCUCUCUCUCUCUCUUUGAAAAAAAAGAAAAAAGAAACAAAAAUCAACUUCAUUAUCCUUAGUGAAUUUGUUCUGGAUUAGUUGUGUUGCAAUGGAACAUCGAACCUACCUAGCUAAAAGGAAAAAAGAAAGGCCACUACGACAGUACUGCAGUAUAUUAUUCCAAGAAGACAAAUGUAAACUAUAUACGUGAAGAAUAUCUAUUAUUGGUCGUCAUUUUCAAUCCUCAUAAAAGAAAACUUACUUCGCCAUAAUUUCAGGUUGUUCUCAAGGCAGGAAGGUAAGGACACUUGAAAAGAUUCCUUCUCAUCAUCUAUACAAGGAAAUGUGUUCUCAUCAAGCUAGGGGACAAGGCAAAUUAGCAACCUUUAUACUCGAUAUAUUAUUCCAAGCAGAUAUACAUGUGAAGAAUAUUAUGAUCUUGAUCAAUAUGGAAUCAGUGGGUGUAUCGAUCGACCAUCCAAAGAAAAAGGAUAUCCUCUGCAUAUAUGUGUGCAUGCCAACAACUAUAAAAGGAGACCAUGAGGCAAUGAGUUGAUCAUCAAAGCAAACACACAGAUAUCCCAACUAAAAAUCAUUCAGUGAGACAAUGGCUGGAACCAAUGAUAUUAAAAUUAAAGGGUUCGAUUUGAGCAAAAACAGCGGCAACACGUCCGGAUUAACCCACUUCGCCAACAGAGCUGACGAGGGCGACAAGGGCGACAAUAAAAUCGAGGUUGAGGAUGCUAAAGCGCAAGAUAACAAGGGAAACUUGAAAGUACUGACCGACUUCGCCCAACGUGGUAAGGUGGGCCAGUCGGAUCGCCAAGAAAUCACGGGGAGCAAGCCACUUCAGACGGCAGCAUGAAAUUGAUGAAGGCCAUACCAUAAUAAAAUAUCUACACUAAAAUAAGAGCUGAUGCAGUAUCUGAGGCUCCUUCCUUGGUUAGGCCUCAUUAUCAUGUGCAAUACUAAUAUUAUUAUUCUAAUAAAAUAAUGGUAGCUUAUUAUUAAAUAUAUCAAAAUUCUAUACGUAUAACUUUUAGAUUAUUGAUACUGAUGACAUACCAACAAGAGAAAACGAUUCAAAAGUCCUUUCUCCAAUUCGUGAUGUUACAAAAUGAGACGUCAAAUUUAAAAAUAUAGUUGCAUACGAGUAUAAACUGAACCAAUAAGCAAUGUAUGAGUGACCAAAGGUCUCAAACGAUGCAUUUAAGAAGAAGGGUACUAAAUUAAAAGAUGUACGCCAGUGAACUAUGGCAAUCUCUCGUUGCAUGCACGCAUAUGCAAUUGAAGAAGACCUAACUUAUAUCACGAAGAAGUGGAUGGGUCUUUACAUAUGAAGUUUUUAAAAUUAACACUACCGGAAGACAAUAGGAGUAUCGGCGUAUCUGAUACAAGUAUCGGAGUCUCGGAGUAUUAGAUUUGAGCAUACCUGUCCAAAUAGGAGUAUCGGUGCAACAUAGAUGAAAAGGAAUUGGAUGUGAUUUCACAUAUUUUUAAAGAACAGGGGAAAUAAACCAAUUAAUCUCUUUCGUCUUGUCCACACAUUUCUUGUUGCAAAUUUUGGUUUUCAAAAAAUUUGGCAUUUCAAGCAACUUGGAAAACAUUUUGAUGAUCCAUUAUUGAACCUCUAAAGUCGAUAUUCAAUCCCUAUCGACCUUGCUCAAAAAAUGUCUCAUUUCAAUUAGUGCAGAGAAAAAUAAAGGCAGAGUUGAAAAUAGAUUUUUCAGUUUGGAAAGUGACAUUGAGAUGUAAAAAGACUAGACAUUAAGGUGGCAAGAGAGAUCUAACAGGAUCAGACAAAAAAGGAAAAAAAAAUGAAUGAAAAAUAGAAAAUGCCCUAGAAAGGGGAGAACAACUUAGUUGCAAUGGGGAUAACAAUAUCUUGCUAUUACUGGUCAAUAAUUUUAUACCACGUGGCCUAGAAGGAGGCCUGUUAGUCCAACUCAUCUGGUCCACUUCCCAUUAUAUGAACCCGACUUGAGAGUUUUGGUUUUUUGGUUGAAGUAGAACAACCCGACUUGAGAAUUGAGGCAGCCAAACUAGAAGGGAAGCAGCCCACUCCACUCCCGCUCCCCAUGUGCCCAGUACUUCGCUUGUUUACUUCACCUUUUAAACCUUUUAGGAUUUUUUUUAUAGGAUAAGAGGAAAACGACGACAUUACAAGUUAUUACGCAUCAACGUAUGUAAUUUCUAGAUUAAAAUCUCACUUUUUACGCAUGUCAUUAUCUUAGGAUUAUGUAUUACUACGCACUGACAAUCUUACGAUUAUCUGCAAUUCAUCCUUCAAUGACCAAAGACGUUAUAUCAAAUCAACAAUAAGACAUACAUUUCUCCAAAUAACUAAAUUAUGUGGAUUUCAACUUGCUCUCAUUUAUAUGUUUGUCUCUCUCCUCCUAUUGAUUAGCCUCUCCAUAAGAGCAAAUAUGAAAAAAGAAGCUCCCAAUCCGAACUUUAAGUCACAAGUUUAACAGUUUACUUUUAAACAAAAGCAAGUUACGAAACAAUCCCCUGAUUUCCUUGUUAAACAUCAACCGACCCAUUAUUGAUGAGGAUUGAGAAUCUAAGAGCAUAUGGACGAUGGAUCUCUCUCUCUUUUUGAAAACAAAAACAAAAACAAAAAACAAAAAUCAACUUCAUUAUCCUUGGUGAAUUUGUUCUGGAUUAGUUGUUUUGAAUUAGUACAGCUUACGUACGCAAUGGAACAUCGAACUUAGCUAGCUAAAAGGAAAAAAGAAAGGCCACUACUACAGUACCGCAGUAUAUUAUUCCAAGAAGACAAAUGUAAACUAUAUACGUGAAGAAUCUCUAGUAUUGGUCGUCAUUUUCAAUCCUUAUAAAAGAAAGCUUGCUUCGCCAUAAUUUCAGGUUGUUCUCAAGGCAGGCAGAGAGAGUACGUAGCUUGGCAAGAAAGGUAAGGGCACUUCAAAAGAUUGUUUCUCAUCAUCUAUAUGAGGAAAUGUGUUGCCAUCAAGCUAGCGGACAAGGCAAAUUAGCAACCUUUAUACUCGAUAUAUUAUUCCAAGCAGAUAUACAUGUAAAUAUAUGUGAAGAAUAUUAUGAUCAUGAUCAAUAUAGAAUCUGUAUCAUGAUCAGAGGGUAUCGAUCCAGCAUCCAAAGAAAAAGGAUAUACUCUGCAUAUGUGCAUGCCAACAACUAUAAAAGGAGACCAUGAGGCAAUGAGUCGAUCAUCAACGGAAACACACAGAUAUCCCAACUAAAAAUCCAUCGUGAGACAAUGGCUGGAACCAAUGAUAUUAAAAUUAAGGGGUUUGAUUUGAGCAACAACAAAGGCAACACGUCGGGAUUAACCCACUUCGCCAACAGAGCUGACGGGGGCGACAAUGGCAACAAUAAAAUCGAGGUUGAGGAUGCUAAAGGGCAAGGGAACACGGGAAACUUGAAAGUACUGACCGACUUCGCCCAACGCGGUAAAGUGGGCCAGUCGGAUCGCCAAGAACUACUCAAACCUCAGGCAUGAAAUUGAAGAAGGCCAGACCACAACAACUUGUCUGCUUGAUAGAUAUAUGUGCUAAAUUAUCUACACAAAAAUAAGAGCUGAUGUUUUAUCUGAGGCUCCUUCCUUGGUUAGGCCUCGUUAUCAUGUGUAAUAUUAAUAUUAUUAUUCUAAUAAAAUAAUGGUAGCUUAUUAUUAAAUAUAUCAAAAUUCUAUACGUAUAACUUUUAGAUUAUUGAUACUGAUGUCAACAAGAGAAAAUGAUUAAAAAGUCCUUUCUCCAAUUCGUGAUGUUACAAAAUGAGACUUCAAAUUUUAAAACUAUAGUUGCAUACGAGUACAAAACUGAACCAAACAAUGUAUGGGCCAGAGUGACCAAGGAUGUACGCCAGUGAACUAAUGGCAAUCUCUCGUUGCAUGCACGCAUAUGCAAUUGAAGGAGGCAUUAUCUGAGGCUCCUUCCUUGGCUAGGCCUCAUUUUCAAUUUUGAUUUCAACUUUGAUUUUGCUUAAACUUUGAUUUUGAGCUAGACUGUGAUUUCGACUUUGAUCUCCCAAUUCGUGCCUUAAGAAUCAGUUUCUCCCAACUCUAUUUACCAAAACCGAAAACUCUGAACUUUUCAAUUCGUCUGGCUACUCUCAGGGUUUCAUGCCUUAGUUUCCUCUCGCCAAAAAGCCAAAAAGACUUGGCUUUCAUGUAAUGCUAUACUCCUCGAUUGAACAAGCCGCGUCUUCAAAUUCAGCUUUCUCACUUCCUUUCUCUUUACUUUCUUUCUUUUGUUUUCCGGCUGGGAAAAUCAUGGAAGCAUUACAAAUUUAAGAGAAUAUUCUAGUAUUAGGGUCCAAACUGUACUAUUUAGGUAUUUUCAUUCUGAUUAAGAGUUCUUUUCUAGAAAUUUGGGGAAGAAAAAAUAGAGUUUCUGUUUUAGUGUUUGAUUUUCAUUACAGUGAAUUAUGUGAAACCGAAAUGUUUCUUGUCUGAUUUCAUCACUGCUUUCAAAUUGCAAAUUAAGGAUUUGAAGGUUAACAAUGCCCGUCUUUAACAAUGUCGCAUUUCAAUUAGUACAAAAGAAAAAUAAAGGCAUAGUUGAAAAUAGAUUUUUCAGUUUCGAAAGUGACAUUGAGAUUUAAAAAGACUAGACAUUAAGAUGGCAAGAGAGAUCUAAAAGGAUCAAACAAAAAAAGUGAAUGAAAAAUUGAAAAUGCCCUAGAAAGGGAGGAAAUCUUAGUUGCAAUGGGGAUAACAAUGUUUUGCUAUCCUCGAACAAUAAUUUUACACCACGUGACCUAGAAGGAGGCAUGUUAAUCUAACUCAUCUGGUCCACCGUCCAUGAUAUGAACCCGACUUGUGAGUUUUUUUUUUUUUUUGUUGAAGUAGAACAACCAAACUUGAGAGUUGAUGUCACAUCUCAGGAUCGGCUUCACCGUAGCACGAUAUUGUCUGCUUUGGGCCCCCUCGCUGUCCUCGCGGUUUUGUUUCUAGGAGCUCACGAGCAACUUCUCAGUUGGUCACUCAUCUUAGGAUUGCUCUGGCCCAAACUCACUUAACUUCGGAGUUCUCAUGACUCCGAAGCUAGUGAGCUCCUAAAAGGCCUCGUACUAAAUGGAAGUGGGCAUAUAUAUAUAAGGCACAACACCCCAUCUUCGUUGGUUGAUGUGGAAUGUUACAAUCCACCCCCCUUAGAGGUCUGACUUCCUCGUCGGCACACUCUCACCACACGGCAGAGUGGCUCUGAUACCAAACUGUCACAUCCCGGGAACGGCUCCGUCGUAGCACGAUAUUGUCCGCAUUGGGCCAACCUUUCUGCCCUCACGGUUUUGUUACUGGGAGCUCACGAGCAACUUCCCAGUGAAUCACUCAUCCUGGGAUUGCUCUAGCCCAAACUCGCUUCACUUCGGAGUUCCUAUGACUCCGAAGCCAAUUAGCUCCCAAAAGACCUCGUGCUAGAUAAAGGUGGGCACGUACAUAUAAGGCACAUCACCUUCUCUUCGUUGAUCGAUGUGGGAUGUUACAGUUGAGGGCUCCGUUGGUCGAUGUAGGAUGUUACAGUUGAGGCAGCCAAACUAGAAGGGAAGCAACCCAACUCCACUCCCUCUCCCCAUGUGCCCAGUUCUCUGCUCGUUUACUUCACCUUUUAAACAUUUUAGGAUUUUCCAUAAGCAAAGAGGAGAACGACCACAUUACGGUCUCGUUUGGUUCACGAACAGAUUUAAGGGGAAAUAACUUCUCAUGUCAUUUCUCAAGGGAUGAGAAAUGGAGAUUCAUUUCCCAUAUUUGGUAAUCCUAGGAAAAUAACAAAGAAAUACCACUUUAUUUCCUUUCACAUGUUUGGUUUGUCUAGGAAUGUAAAACAAAGUUUGUUUAAUUUUCCAAUUAUACCGAUAUGAAAUCAAAUAAAAAAAGAAUAUUUAAUGUUAUAUUGUAAUUCUAAACUGUUAAUAGGGACAAUAUGAUCAUGAAAAAUGUGUAUUUAAUGUUGGCUCAUUUGCUUAUUUUCCCAAACUUUCACAUGAGGAGGAAAACAAAACCCAAGGGGGGAGGAUGGCUUCACUUUCCCCUCUACUUUCCCAUGUACAAGGCAACGAUUUCUCAAGUCUGGACUUACCAUACAUGGGAAAGAAAUUAAUUUCUCAUCCCCAAGUCAUUUUUCCCAUAAACCAAACGGAGCCUACAGGUUAUAAGCUUCAACCUUUAAGGAUUUUCAUAACAAAUCUUGCAAUCUCAUACCAAGGAAAUAAAAAUAAAAAAAAGGAUCCAUGCGUGUAAUUUCUAGAUUAAAAUCUCACUUUUUACGCAUGCCAUUAUCUAAGGAUUAGGUAUGACUACACACGAACAAUCUUACAAUUAUCUGCAAUUCGUCCUUCAAUGGCCAAAGACGUUAUAUCAAAUGAACAAUAAGACGUACAUUUCUUCAAAGAACUAAAUUAUGUGGAUUUCAACUUGCUCUCACUUAUAUGUUUCUCUCUCUCCUCCUAUUGUUUAGCUUAAGGUUUUAGGGCGUGGUUGUCUAAGAACAAUAAGGUAAACAUGCUUACAAAAAAAGAUGGACAGCAAGGAUGGACAUAUGCGAAUGUGAGCUUUUACACAUUGCCACUAAUUUUCUCCAUGAUUUUGUUGAAAUCAUUAACAAAAUAAGAAACUUUAGUAAUUGAAGCGAAAGAGACUAAUUAUCAGAAGAGAAAAUAUGAAAAAAGAAGCUCCCAAUCCAAACUUUAAGUCACAAGUUUAACAGUUUACUUUAAAACAAAAGCAAGUUACGAAACAAUCCCCUGAUUUCCUUGUUAAACAUCAACCGACCCAUUAUUGAUGAGGAUUGAGAAUCUAAGAGCAUAUGGACGAUGGAUCUCUCUCUCUUUUUGAAAACAAAAACAAAAACAAAAAUCAACUUCAUUAUCCUUAGUGAAUUUGUUCGGGAUUAGUUGUGUUGAAUUAGUACAGCUUACUUACGCAAUCGAAUAUCAAACCUAGCUAGCUAAAAAGAGAAAAAGAAAGGCCACAACGACAGUACUGUAGUAUACGUGAAGAAUCUUAUGAUCUAUAAUAUUCUGUAUUAUUGGCCAUCAUUUUCAAUCCUUAUUAAAGAAAACUUGCUUCGCCAUAAUUUCAAGUUGUUCUGAAGGCAGGCAUAGAGAGCACGUAGCUUGGCAAGGGAGGUAAGGGCACUUCGAAAGAUUCCUUCUCAUCAUCUAUACAAGGAAAUGUGUUCUCAUCAAGCUACGGGACAAGGCAAAUUAGCAACCUUUAUACUCAGAUAUAUUAUUCCAAGCAGAUAAACAUGUAAAUAUAUGUGAAGAAUAUUAUGAUAAUGAUCAAUAUAGAAUCUGUAACAUUAUCAGAGGGGUAUCGAUCGACCAUCCAAAGAAAAGGAUAUCCUCUGCAUAUGUGCAUGCCAACAACUAUAAAAGGAGACCAUGAGGCAAUGAAUCAUCAAAGCAAAGACACAGAUAUCCCAACUAAAAAUCAAUCAGUGAGACAAUGGCUGGAACUGGAACCAAUGAUAUUAAAAUUAAAGGGUUCGAUUUGAGCAACAACAGCGGCAACACGUCGGGAUUAACCCACUUCGCCAACAGAGCUGAUGGGGGCGACAAGGGCGACAAUAAAAUCGAGGUUGAGGGUGCUAAAGCGCAAGAUAACAAGGGAAACUUGAAAGUACUUACCGAUUUCGCCCAACGCGGUGAAGUGGGCAGGUCGGAUCGCCAAGAACUUCUCAAGCCUCAGGCAUGAAAUUGAAGAAGGCCAUACCAUAUAUGUGCUGAAUUAUCUACACAAAAAUAAGAGCUGAUGUUUUAUCUGAGGCUCCUUCCUUGGUUAGGCCUCGUUAUCAUGUGUAAUAUUAAUAUUAUUAUUCUAAUAAAAUAAUGGCAGCUUAUUAUUAAAUAUAUCAAAAUUCUAUACGUAUAACUUUUAGAUUCUUGAGUGGGAAACCCUAGCUGCAUUCUGGUCCCUUUUCUUCUUGCCGACAACCAACCACAAGGAAACUAAAGGGGGAGGUGGCCACUGCCCCUCCCCCCCUUCGCCCAUCUUCCCUUUCUCUCCUCAUCUUCCCUUCUUUUUCUCCCAUCUUUUCCCUUCCUCUUAUGCCCUCUUCUCUUCCCAUUCCCUUUCCCAUAUAGUCUAGAUCUAUUUGGAUCUAGGUUUUGUUUGUUUGUUUGUUUGGUUUGGUUUGGUUGUUUUUGCAGUAUUCUAGGUGACUGGUAGUGACGUUGGAUUGUGUCUAUUAUCGGGAGAGUUGUGAUACCUAGUGGCUGAUGUUUUGUCUCUGUUUCAACGACGGCGGCAGUAGCGACACUAGUGAUAGUUAUUGGAUGUGGUGCUCUUCUUUAUUCUGCACUUACCGAAGAACUAUGCUUGGUCAUAGGAGGUUUUCUUUGUCAGAUUCUGAGUUGAAGUGGAGUGCUUCUUAGGGGUCCUUUUAUUGUUGCUUCUAUGUUCCUCCUCUGUGUUCUCUCCUGUUUUCUGUUAUGGUAUGCCUUGUAGUUUGUAUGGGUGUCAAAAUACUAUGAUUUUGCUCAUAGAAGGCUUCUUUUGACAGUUGGGAUAUUCUACGAUCCUCUUCUGUGGGUUUACUAUUUGGGGUUUCUGUCGUUCUCUCAUGUGGGUGUACUAUGUUGGUAUCUAGUUGAGGUUUUCGUCGGAGUUCUUUUUGUUAGUUUUCGUUUUUGAUUUGUUCUUUUAUUGUAAUGGUCCAAAGCGACCAGAAUUAAACUCUCUUGUUAGUCCAUGACAUGUGUGGUACUCUUUUCUCCCCGGGGUUUGUCCCUUGAGAUUGCCCUAGGAAGGUUUUAACGAGGCCACUAUAUCAUGUUGCUCAUUGUACGUCUUUGGUUCUAUUAAUUAAUUCUCUUUCUUAAAAAUAACAAAAAUAAAUAAAUAAAUAAAUAAAAAUUUAGAUUAUUGAUAACGAUGUCAACAAGAGAAAAUGAUUAAAAAGUCCUUUCUCCAAUUCGUGAUGUUACAAAAUGAGACUUCAAAUUGUAAAACUAUAGUUGGAUACGAGUAUAAAACUGAACCAGGCAAUGUAUGGGCCAGAGUGACCAAGGUUGUACGACAGUGAACUAAUGGCAAUUUCUCGUUGCAUGCACGCAUAUGCAAUUGAAGAAUGCCAUAAUAAUAUGUGUUUUUACUAAAUUAUCUACACUAAAAUAAAAACUGAGGCAUUAUCUGAGGCUCUUUCCUUGGCUAGGCCUCAUUUUCAAUUUUGAUUUCAACUUUGAUUUCGCUUAAACUUUGAUUUUGAGCUAGACUGUAAUUUCGACUUUGAUUCUGAUUCUCUCCCAAUUCAUGCCUUAAGAAUCAGUUUCUCCCAACUCUAUUUACCAAAACCAAAAACUCUAAACUUUUCAAUUCGUCUGGGUACUCUCAGAGUUUCAUGCCCUAGUUUCCUCUCGCCAAAAAGCCAAAAAGACUUGGCUUUCAUGUAAUGCUAUACUCCUCGAUUGAACAAGCUGCGUCUUCAAAUUCAACUUUCUCACUUCCCUUCUCUUUACUUUCUUUUCUUUUGUUUUCCAGCCCGGAAAAUCAUGGAAGCAUUACAAAUUUAAGAGAAUAUUCUAGUAUUAGGGUCCAAACUGUACUAUUUAGGUAUUUUCAUUCUGAUUAAGAGUUCUUUUCUAGAAAUUUGGUGAAGAAAAAAUAGAGUUUCUGUUUUAGUGUUUGAUUUUCAUUAUAGUGAGUUAUGUGAAAUCGAAAUGUUUCUUGUGUGAUUUCAUCACUGCUUUCAAAUUGCAAAUUAAGGAUUUGAAGGUUACAAAUUAUUAUGUAGAUAAUUUUUGGGAAUUUAAGAGGCAGUACAGUGUUUGUAUAAGUCUUGAGAUAGACCAAUUUACCACAUGCUCGAUUUCUAUAUAUAAAUUUUUUUAAAUCAUUCUUUUGUUUUAUUUAUUCUGUUAAUUUGUCAUAAUGUGUAAUAUGAUAGCUUCUAAUUCUUUCUUCCUAUUUCUUCUUUUUUGUUAUUCUCUCCCAAAUGAAAUGAAGACCUAACUUAUAUCAAGAAGAAGAGGAUGGAUCCUUACAUAUGAAGAUUUUAAAAUUAACAUUAUUGGAAGACAGUAGGAGUAUCGGCAAUUUGAUACAAGUAUCGGAGUAUCAAAUACGAGCAUGCCCGUCUUUAACAAUGUCUCAUUUCAAUUAGUACAAAAGAAAAAUAAAGGCAGAGUUCAAAAUAGAUUGUUCAGUUUCGAAAGUGACAUUGAGAUUUAAAAAGACUAGACAUUAAGAUGGCAAGAGAGAUCUAAAAGGAUCAAACAAAAAAAAUGAAUGAAAAAUUGAAAAUGCCCUAGAAAGGGAGGAAAUCUUAGUUGCAAUGGGGAUAACAGUAUUUUGCUAUCCUCGAUCAAUAAUUUUAUACCACGUGACCUAAGGAGGCAUGUCAAUCUAGCUCAUCUGGUCCACCGUCCAUGAUAUGAACUCGACUUGAGAGUUUUUUUUUUUUUUUUUUUUUUUUUUUGGGGUUGAAGUAGAACAACUAGACUUGAGAGUUGAUGUCACAUCUCAAGGUCGGUUCCACCGUAGCACGAUAUUGUCUGCUUUGGGCCCCCUCUUUGUCCUCGCGGUUUUGUUUUUAGGAGCUCACGAGCAACUUCCCAGUUGGUCACCCAUCUUGGGAUUGCUCUAGCCCAAACUCACUUAACUUCGGAGUUCUCAUGACUUCGAAAUCAGUGAGCUCCCAAAAGGCCUCGUGCUAAAAGGAGGUGGGCAUAUACAUAUAAGGCGCAACACCCCCUCUCCGUUAGUCGAUGUGGAAUGUUACAAUCCACCCCCUUUAGAGGUCCGACGUCCUCGUCGGCACAGUCUCACCACACGGCAGAGUGGCUCUAUGCCAAAUUGUCGCAUUCCGGGAUCGGCUCCGUCGUAACACGAUAUUGUCCGCGUUGGGUCAACCUCUCUGCCCUCACGAUUUUGUUUCUGGGAGCUUACGAGCAACUUCCCAGUAGAUCACUCAUCCAAACUCGCUUAACUUCGGAGUUCCCAUGACUCCGAAGCCAGUGAGCUCCCAAAAGACCUCGUGCUAAAUGGAGGUAGGCAUGUACAUAUAAGGCACAUCACCUCCGCUCCGUUGGUCGAUGUGGGAUGUUACAGUUGAGGGCUCCGUUGGUCGAUGUACGAUGUUACAGUUGAGGGCUCCGUUGGUCGAUGUAGGAUGUUAUAGUUGAGGCAGCCAAAAUAGAAGGGAAGCAACCCUACUCCACUCCCUCUCCCCAUGUGCCCAGUUCUCUACUCGUUUACUUCACCUUUUAAACCCCUUCGUACUUGAAGACCUGGCUGGCAAUUUGAUUGAAGCGAAAGAGACUAAUUAUCCAUGCUUUUGUUGAAAUCAUUAACAAAAUAAGAAACUUUAGUAAUUGAAGCGAAAGAGACUAAUUAUCAAAACAGAAAAUAUGAAAAAAGAAGCUCCCAAUCCGAACUUUAAGUCACAAGUUUAACAGUUUACUUUAAAACAAAAGCAAGUUACGAAACAAUCCCCUUAUUUACUUGUUAAACAUCAACCGACCCAUUAUUGAUGAGGAUUGAGAAUCUAAGAGCACAUGGACGAUGGAUCUCUCUCCCUUUUUGAAAACAAAAACAAAAACCAACUUCAUUAUCCUUAGUGAAUUUGUUCUGGAUUAGUUGUGUUGCAAUGGAACAUCGAACCUACCUAGCUAAAAGGAAAAAAGAAAGGCCACUACGACAGUACUGCAGUAUAUUAUUCCAAGAAGACAAAUGUAGACUAUAUACGUGAAGAAUAUCUAGUAUUGGUCGUCAUUUUCAAUCCUCAUAAAAGAAAACUUACUUCGCCAUAAUUUCAGGUUGUUCUCAAGGCAGGAAGGUAAGGACACUUGAAAAGAUUCCUUCUCAUCAUCUAUAUAAGGAAAUGUGUUCUCAUCAAGCUAGGGGACAAGGCAAAUUAGCAACCUUUAUACUCGAUAUAUUAUUCCAAGCAGAUAUACAUGUGAAGAAUAUUAUGAUCUUGAUCAAUAUGGAAUCUGUAUCAUGAUCAGUGGAUGUAUCGAUCGACCAUCCAAAGAAAAAGGAUAUCCUCUGCAUAUAUGUGUGCAUGCCAACAACUAUAAAAGGAGACCAUGAGGCAAUGAGUUGAUCAUCAAAGCAAACACACAGAAAUCCCAACUAAAAAUCAAUCAGUGAGACAAUGGCUGGAACUGGAACCAAUGAUAUUAAAAUUAAAGGGUUCGAUGUGAGCAACAACAGCGGCAACACGUCGGGAUUAACCCACUUCGCCAACAGAGCUGCCGAGGGCGACAAGGGCGACAAUAAAAUCGAGGUUGAGGAUGCUAAAGGGCAAGGGAACACGGGAAACUUGAAAGUACUGACCGACUUCGCCCAACGCGGUAAAGUGGGCCAGUCGGAUCGCCAAGAACUUGUCAAACCUCAGGCAUGAAAUUGAAGAAGGCCAUACCAUAACCACUUGUCUGCUUGAUAGAUAUAUGUGCUAAAUUAUCUACACAAAAAUAAGAGCUGAUGUUUUAUCUGAGGCUCCUUCCUUGGUUAGGCCUCGUUAUCAUGUGUAAUAUUAAUAUUAUUAUUCUAAUAAAAUAAUGGUAGCUUAUUAUUAAAUAUACCCAAAUACUAUACGUAUAACUUUUAGAUUAUUGAUACUGGUGUCAACAAGAGAAAAUGAUUAAAAAGUCCUUUCUCGCAUUCGUGAUGUUAGAA
rnacentral:lncRNA from 1 species